UACGUAGGGUGCAAGCGUUGUCCGGAUUUACUGGGCGUAAAGCGCGCGCAGGCGGCAGUACAAGUACCCUCUGAAAUCUCCUUGCUCAACGAGGAGGGUGGAGGGUAGACUGUGCAGCUAGAGGAGGGUAGAGGGGGGUAGAAUUGCUGGUGUAGCGGUGAAAUGCGUAGAGAUCAGCAGGAACACCGGUGGCGAAGGCGGCAUCCUGGACCAACACUGACGCUGAGGAGCGAAAGCCAGGGGAGCAAACGGG
rnacentral:rRNA from 1 species